rnacentral:lncRNA from 1 species
UGAAGUGGAUGAUUAGUCGAUCUUUAACCUUCGAAGAUUGCCGGAUUGAAUGAAACGGUGAUAUAACACUGAUGAACUCAGAUCAUAGUCAUUCGCUUAUUCCCUAACUUUUGCCUGGAUCGCCCCCUUUUCGGGUUUUCAAUCCACCGGGAUACCCAUUUUUGCCUGAGCCGCCCUUUUGGGUUUUCGACUCACCGGGUGUACU